UACGUAGGGUGCAAGCGUUGUCCGGAAUCAUUGGGCGUAAAGAGCGUGUAGGCGGCUUGGUAAGUCCGCUGUGAAAGUCCAGGGCUCAACCCUGGAAUGCCGGUGGAAACUGUCAAGCUCGAGUCCGGAAGAGGCGAGUGGAAUUCCUGGUGUAGCGGUGAAAUGCGCAGAUAUCAGGAGGAACACCAAUGGCGAAGGCAGCUCGCUGGGACGGUACUGACGCUGAGACGCGAAAGCGUGGGGAGCAAACAGG
rnacentral:rRNA from 1 species